AAAAGAUCCCCUGCUAGGGGAGUGAAAUAGAACCUGAAACCGUGUGCCUACAGACGGUCGGAGCACUAUGGGCGAUGCUUGCAUCGCUAAUGUGUGACGGCGUGCCUCUUGGAGAAUGAGCCGGCGAGUUAAUCUCAGUGGCAAGGUUAAGCUAGAUACAGGCGGAGCCGCAGCGAAAGCGAGUCUGAAUAGGGCGUUGAGUCGCUGGGAUUAGACACGAAACCAGGUGAGCUACCCAUGAGCAGGUUGAAGCGGGAGUAAUGUCUCGUGGAGGACCGAACUCACUAAUAUUGCAAAAUUAGGGGAUGACUUGUGGGUAGGGGUGAAAUGCCAAACGAACUUGGAUAUAGCUUGUUCUCUCCGAAAUAGCUUUAGGGCUAGCGUCGCGUGUUUAGUAUAGGGGGUAGAGCACUGAAUGAGCUAGGGGGCGCAAGCUUACCAACCUCAAUCAAACUCCGAAUACCUAUACUCCAAGCGCGGCAGUCGGACUGCGUGAGAUGAGUUUCGUAGUCGAAAGGGAAACAGCCCAGACCGUCAGCUAAGGUCCCCAAGUGUGUGUUAAGUGGGAAACGAUGUGAGAGUGUUUAGACAGCCAGGAGGUUGGCUUAGAAGCAGCCACCCUUUAAAGAGUGCGUAACAGCUCACUGGUCAAACGCUCUUGCGCGGAAAAUUCAACGGGGCUUAAACACACCACCGAAGCUACGGAUCCGAAAGGAUGGUAGGAGAGCGUUCUGUAGGAGAUACAAGGUAGACCGAAAGGACUGCUGCGGCCUACAGAAGUGAGAAUGCCGGCAUGAGUAGCGCAAAACAUGUGAGAACCAUGUUCCCCGUAAACCUAAGGUUUCCGACGGAAGGCCAGUCCGCGUCGGGUUAGUCGGGCCUUAGCCGAGGCCGCAAGGCGUAGGUGAUGGACAUCCGGUUAAUAUUCCGGAACCACUCAAGUGGAGCGAUGAAGGGACGCGGUGUGGUAGGUCAGCCUCUUACUGGAUUGAGGUGCCAAACGCGUAGGACGUUGAUGGGUGUAGGCAAAUCCGCACCUGGAGUCCGAAACGUGAUGGCGGUGCCUUAGAGCCACAAGUGAUUGAGCCACGCCGCCAAGAAAAGCUUCUAAGCGUCGAGAUUUGAGUGACCGUACCGCAAACCGACACUGGUAGGUGGGUAGAAGAUACCAAGGGGAGCGAGAGAACCCUCGUUAAGGAAUUAGGCAAAUUUCCCCCGUACGUUCGCAAUAAGGGGGGCCUCUGGCGGUGAGCUAUGCAAAGCUGCUGGAGGCCGCAGAGAAAUGGCUCUUCCAACUGUUUAACAAAAACACAGGUCUCUGCUAAGUCGAAAGACGACGUAUAGGGGCUGACGCCUGCCCGGUGCCGGAAGGUUACGUGGAGUUGUUAGACUUCGGUCGAAGCAGCGAAGCUAAGCCCCGGUAAACGGCGGCCGUAACUAUAACGGUCCUAAGGUAGCGAAAUUCCUUGUCGGGUAAGUUCCGACCCGCACGAAUGGCGUAAUGAGAGGAGCACUGUCUCAACGAGGGACUCGGCGAACAUUGAAGGACGUGUGAAGAUACACGUGACCCGCAGCGGGACAAAAAGACCCCGUGAAGCUUUACUACAACUUGCCAUUGAGUUAGGGCUAAACCUGUGUAGCAUAGGUGGGAGGCUUUGAAGCUGGGACGCCAGUCUCGGUGGAGCCACCGUUGAAAUACCACCCUGGUUUAUUCUUGGCUCUAACCUGUCGCCGUUAUCCGGCAUGGGAACAGUGGCUGGUGGGUAGUUUGACUGGGGCGGUCGCCUCCGAAAGCGUAGCAGAGGCGCCCAAAGGUUCCCUCAGGCUGAAUGGAAACCAGCCGUUGAGUGUAAAGGCACAAGGGAGCUUGACUGCAAGACCUACAAGUCGCGCAGGGACGAAAGUCGGGCUUAGUGAUCCCACGGUUCAGAGUGGAAUGGCCGUGGCUUACCGGAUAAAAGCUAC
rnacentral:rRNA from 1 species